rnacentral:lncRNA from 1 species
CCGGAGCGUCUACAAGGCAACAUCUACUCCAUUCAAUCUGACAUUUGGAGUUUUGGUUUAUCAUUGGUUGAGAUGGCCUUGGGACGUUACCCAGUCCCUCCACCAAACCCCGAGGACAUUGAUAAAGUCUUUACAGGAGAAAUCCCAGACCUUGCUUCACUUAACCCAGAGAGAAUGGUUCCUGGGGCCCAGGUCCCUCAAGGUGUUAAUGGUGGAGAAGUCCCAAGGCCGAUGGCAAUCUUUGAAUUGCUGGAUUAUAUUGUUAACGAGGUAGGUGUUAAUUUUAAUCUCAACAUUUUAACACCAUGACAAAAUACAGUCUGUCCGAGUAAACGUUGAUGGGGCAUCCGCACACCCUUUCAUCUUCCACACCUUACUAUUUCAUCCUUUUUCUUUUUUCAGCCUGCGCCAAGGUUACCGGAGAGACAUUUCUCAGACAUAUUCAGAGAAUUUGUACAUAAAUGGUAAGCAAUUUAUUCUUAGAAAUUCAGAGAUAAAGUUUCACCGAGUUGAGAAAUAUGUCGUUUUUAAUUUUUUAGUUUGGUGAAAAAUCCAAAUGAACGAGCAAAUCUUAAGUUUUUAAUG